rnacentral:SRP_RNA from 1 species
GCCAGGCACAGUGGUGCGUGCCUGUAGUCCCAGCUACUCGGGAGGCUGAGGUGGGAGAAUCGCUUGAGCCCAGGAGUUCUGGGCUGUAGUGCGCUAUGCAAUUGGGUGUCCGCACUAAGUUCGGCAUCAUUAUGGUGACCUCCCAGGAGCGGGGGACCACCAGGUUGCCUAAGGAGGGGUGAACUGGCCCAGGUAGGAAACAGAGCAGGUCAAAACUCCCGUGCUAAGCAGUAGUGGGAUUGCACCUGUAAAUAGCCACUGCGCUCCAGCCUGUGAGACCCCGUCUCU